AGUGAACGCUGGCGGUAGGCCUAACACAUGCAAGUCGAACGGCAGCACAGUAAGAGCUUGCUCUUACGGGUGGCGAGUGGCGGACGGGUGAGGAAUACAUCGGAAUCUACUUUUUCGUGGGGGAUAACGUAGGGAAACUUACGCUAAUACCGCAUACGACCUACGGGUGAAAGCAGGGGAUCUUCGGACCUUGCGCGAUUGAAUGAGCCGAUGUCGGAUUAGCUAGUUGGCGGGGUAAAGGCCCACCAAGGCGACGAUCCGUAGCUGGUCUGAGAGGAUGAUCAGCCACACUGGAACUGAGACACGGUCCAGACUCCUACGGGAGGCAGCAGUGGGGAAUAUUGGACAAAGGGCGCAAGGCUGAUCCAGCCAUACCGCGUGGGUGAAGAAGGCCUUCGGGUUGUAAAGCCCUUUUGUUGGGAAAGAAAAGCAGCAGGUUAAUACCCCGCUGUUCUGACGGUACCCAAAGAAUAAGCACCGGCUAACUUCGUG
rnacentral:rRNA from 1 species